rnacentral:rRNA from 1 species
GAGCAGUGGGGAAUAUUGCGCAAUGGGGGAAACCCUGACGCAGCAAUGCCGCGUGAGUGAGGAAGGCCUUCGGGUUGUAAAGCUCUGUCAGAUGGGAAGAACAGCAGUUGGUCCAAUAGGCCUCUGUUUGACGGUACCUUCAAAGGAAGCACCGGCUAACUUCGUGCCAGCAGCCGCGGUAAUACGAAGGGUGCAAGCGUUGUUCGGAUUUACUGGGCGUAAAGCGCGCGCAGGCGGAUUGAUAAGUCAGAUGUGAAAUCUCGGGGCUCAACCCCGAAACUGCGUCUGAAACUGUUGAUCUAGAGUUAUGUAGGGGAGAAGGGAAUUUCGCAUGUAGGGGUAAAAUCCGUAGAGAUGCGAAGGAACACCAGAGCCGAAGGGGCUUCUCUGGGCAUACACUGACGCUGAGGCGCGAAAGCGUGGGUAGCAAACAGGAUUAGAUACCCUGGUAGUCCACGCCGUAAACGAUGAGUACUAGAUUUUGGGGCCUUUGACCGCUUCAGAGUCGCAGCUAACGCAUUAA